GAGUUAGUCCCGACCCGAAUAGAUUUCCGACCCGGUUUCGCCCCCAGCUCCGGCCCUAUCCGGCGUUCCUCCGACCCGAUUCUGGCAUGAUUCAAGCCGGAUUUUCCGGCUCCUUGUUGCUUCGAGAAUCUUCGGAUUCUCCCUAGAUUACUCCGGGAUUCAUAGCCGCAUUAUCCCUAUAAAGAAGAUCCCAAUUUCAGUUGGUUUCUCACACCCAUCUUCCAACUUCAUCGGCAACACCUCCCUUCAAAGACACCGACGCCGUCACUUGUCCACCUUGCUUUGCUCACGCCUAGUUCGAACCCAGGACCGAUUCUUCUUCGCCAGUCCCUAGUCUAGCCUUGCUUUGCAGGAAUCCAAACCCAGAGCCGUCGCUUUCCCUGGCUUCCCUGUGCCCCGUUCGGGCCGUGCGGCCCAGCUUUGGCAAUCCAGCUCCUCGUCGGCGUUGCCUCUGACAGCCGGCCUCUGUCGUCGAGUCAUGCCCCAGGCUCAGCUAAGCCGACCUCGAGUUUUUCCCUGCACUCAUGGCUCGUAUCAAGAUUUUUGACUCGGCGAAAGUUCAGAAGAGAAGUCCAGAAGAAGUUAAGGAGUCGGUGUCUUGGAUCCCAACGGAUUGCGACAACGAAAAGUACAUCAAGGAGUACUCCAUACCGAAAUCUGUUAAGUUCUCGCUUGUUCCUGCUAAUGUUACAUGAAACGCGGGACGUUGCGGUACGGGUACGCGGUACGCUAGUCUUUAGGAUUCACGUGGGAGGCUUGGCCAUCACGCCUGUCUAAGUCCUUAUUUUGAAGUGCCGCUUGAGUCUCUUCCUCUUGCAAAUUUGGAUAUAUGAGUUUGAUGCGUUCCUGGCCGAAUCGGUUGUGCAUUGAGAAUGGGUGGAAUAGGUCUGCUUGAUGUAUUCUUGGUACGCAAUGAAUCUUCCUCAUCAACAUAGUUUCCGUCUAACAUUCUCCAUCGCAAGUCUUCCAAUCUCAAUGGUGAUUUUGGAUUAAUGUCUCAUCUCUUAUAAGUUCCAUUAUUGUAGUAUUCAGAGAAACGUGAAAGAAGACGAAUAUCGGAAUGAAUAAAAACCAAUUUAUCAGCUCUUUCAGCAUUCAGCCUAU